CAGGGGAUCCUCUAGAGAUUGCAGAGUUCUCGGAGUCACGAAGAGUUUGAUCCUGGCUCAGGACGAACGCUGGCGGCGUGCCUAAUACAUGCAAGUCGAACGAAGCUUUCUUUCACCGAAUGCUUGCAUUCACCGAAAGAAGCUUAGUGGCGAACGGGUGAGUAACACGUAGGCAACCUGCCCAAAAGAGGGGGAUAACACUUGGAAACAGGUGCUAAUACCGCAUAACCAUGAACACCGCAUGAUGUUCAUGUAAAAGACGGCUUUUGCUGUCACUUUUGGAUGGGCCUGCGGCGUAUUAACUUGUUGGUGGGGUAACGGCCUACCAAGGUGAUGAUACGUAGCCGAACUGAGAGGUUGAUCGGCCACAUUGGGACUGAGACACGGCCCAAACUCCUACGGGAGGCAGCAGUAGGGAAUCUUCCACAAUGGACGAAAGUCUGAUGGAGCAACGCCGCGUGAAUGAAGAAGGCCUUCGGGUCGUAAAAUUCUGUUGUCAGAGAAGAACGUGCGUGAGAGUAACUGUUCACGUAUUGACGGUAUCUGGCCAGAAAGCCACGGCUAACUACGUGCCAGCAGCCGCGGUAAUACGUAGGUGGCGAGCGUUGUCCGGAUUUAUUGGGCGUAAAGGGAACGCAGGCGGUCUUUUAAGUCUGAUGUGAAAGCCUUCGGCUUAACCGAAGUAGUGCAUUGGAAACUGGAAGACUUGAGUGCAGAAGAGGAGAGUGGAACUCCAUGUGUAGCGGUGAAAUGCGUAGAUAUAUGGAAGAACACCAGUGGCGAAAGCGGCUCUCUGGUCUGUAACUGACGCUGAGGUUCGAAAGCGUGGGUAGCAAACAGGAUUAGAUACCCUGGUAGUCCACGCCGUAAACGAUGAGUGCUAAGUGUUGGAGGGUUUCCGCCCUUCAGUGCUGCAGCUAACGCAUUAAGCACUCCGCCUGGGGAGUACGGUCGCAAGACUGAAACUCAAAGGAAUUGACGGGGGCCCGCACAAGCGGUGGAGCAUGUGGUUUAAUUCGAAGCAACGCGAAGAACCUUACCAGGUCUUGACAUCUUCUGACAAUUCCAGAGAUGGAACGUUCCCUUCGGGGGCAGAAUGACAGGUGGUGCAUGGUUGUCGUCAGCUCGUGUCGUGAGAUGUUGGGUUAAGUCCCGCAACGAGCGCAACCCUUAUUGUCAGUUGCCAUCAUUAAGUUGGGCACUCUGGCGAGACUGCCGGUGACAAACCGGAGGAAGGUGGGGAUGACGUCAAAUCAUCAUGCCCCUUAUGACCUGGGCUACACACGUGCUACAAUGGACGGUACAACGAGUCGCUAACUCGCGAGGGCAAGCUAAUCUCUUAAAGCCGUUCUCAGUUCGGAUUGCAGGCUGCAACUCGCCUGCAUGAAGUCGGAAUCGCUAGUAAUCGCGAAUCAGCAUGUCGCGGUGAAUACGUUCCCGGGCCUUGUACACACCGCCCGUCACACCAUGAGAGUUUGUAACACCCAAAGUCGGUGGGGUAACCUUUUGGAGCCAGCCGCCUAAGGUGGGACAGAUGAUUGGGGUGAAGUCGUAACAAGGUAGCCGUAGUCCUGUGUGAAGUGAUCCGCUAAUCGUCGACC
rnacentral:rRNA from 2 species